rnacentral:rRNA from 1 species
AGAGUUUGAUCAUGGCUCAGGAUGAACGCUAGCUACAGGCUUAACACAUGCAAGUCGAGGGGCAGCAUGUUGGUUGCUUGCAACCAAUGAUGGCGACCGGCGCACGGGUGAGUAACGCGUAUCCAACCUACCCUUGUCCAUCGGAUAACCCGUCGAAAGGCGGCCUAACACGAUAUGCGGUUCUCAGCAGGCAUCUAACGAGAACGAAAUGUGAAGGAGAAGGAUGGGGAUGCGUCUGAUUAGCUUGGUUGGCGGGGUAACGGCCACCAAGGCGACGAUCAGGUAGGGGUUCUGAGAGGACGGGUCCCCCANAUUGGAACUGAGACACGGUCCAAACUCCUACGGGAGGCA